GAGCAGGCGAUAUCGUAUCAGGUAGUUGGUAGGGUAACGGCCUACCAAGCCGACGACGCGUAGCUGGUCUGAGAGGACGACCAGCCACAUCGGGACUGAGACACUGCCCGGACUCCUACGGGGGGCUGCAGUAACGAAUCUUCCGCAAUGCACGAAAGUGUGACGGAGCGACGCCGCGUGGAGGACGAAGUCCUUCGGGAUGUAAACUCCUGUCAGGGGAAAGAAAGUUCUGAUCUACCCCAGAGGAAGGCACGGCUAACUCUGUGCCAGCAGCCGCGGUAAGACAGAGGUGCCGAGCGUUAGGCGGAAUCACUGGGCUUAAAGCGUGUGUAGGCGGGUCGUUAAGUGCCUUGUGAAAUCCCAUGGCUCACCCAUGGAACUGCUGGGCAUACUGGCGACCUUGAGCCACCUAGGGGCAACUGGAACAAGCGGUGGAGCGGUGAAAUGCGUAGAUAUCGCUUGGAACGCCAACGGUGAAAACAGGUUGCUGGGGGUGUGCUGACGCCGAGACACGAAAGCCAGGGGAGCGAACGGGAUUAGAU
rnacentral:rRNA from 1 species